AGUGAACGCUGGCGGUAGGCCUAAUACAUGCAAGUCGAACGGCAGCACAGUAAGAGCUUGCUCUUACGGGUGGCGAGUGGCGGACGGGUGAGGAAUACAUCGGAAUCUACUUUUUCGUGGGGGAUAACGUAGGGAAACUUACGCUAAUACCGCAUACGACCUACGGGUGAAAGCAGGGGAUCUUCGGACCUUGCGCGAUUGAAUGAGCCGAAGCCGGAUUAGCUAGUUGGCGGGGUAAAGGCCCACCAAGGCAACGCUCCGUAGCUGGUCUGAGAGGAUGAUCGGCCACACUGGAACUGAGACACGGUCCAGACUCCUACGGGAGGCAGCAGUGGGGAAUCUUGGACAAUGGGCGCAAGCCUGACCCAGCCAUACCGCGUGAGUGAAGAAGGCCUUCGGGUUGUAAAGCCCUUUUGUUGGGAAAGAACAGCUGCAUGUUAAAACCCCGCUGUUCUGACGGUACCCAAAGAAUAAGCACCGGCUAACUUCGUG
rnacentral:rRNA from 1 species